rnacentral:ncRNA from 1 species
CGGUGGGUGCAAGUCCCACCCGGCCAACUCGAUCGCUCCAGCCGGAAGCUAUCGGAGCGGCGGCAGAGCUAACGAAGCCGUCGGAGCCUCCGAGACAACGGGUCGCCCCGGCGACUCGGCGAGCAGGCAGGCCGUAACGCGC